ACUUAGUAAGAAAAGAGUUUCUAAUGAAAAGUCUUAUUAAUAAAAAAUUAGAAUUUAGAUAAGGACAAAUGAUCUAAAGCAAUUGGGAUUUGACAUGUACCGUGGCCCAGCUAGGAUUGAGACUUUGUAACGGAGAGACUUUAAUGCAGGUGUCAAUCAUGAUUUAUGAGAACUAAGAGUGGAUUGGAAAUUUCGCUCCAUGAAAAAAGUUCAAUUGAUAUUAAAAAGUUAAUAUCAUUCUCAUUGCCAAUUAGUUAUAAACCUAAGAAGUCAUACACAAUAGAACUUAUAUGAUCAAUACAUAACUAAUUUGAUUA
rnacentral:misc_RNA from 1 species